UUCAUCCUUGUCUUUGGGGAGCAAAGUAUUCAAUGAUCGUCUAGUGAGGGCACUGUUGCUAAAACCCAUUUUGAUAUAACCCGCAUCCGCAUCUAAUAAAUGUGAGAUGCAAUUUUUGGAAGC
rnacentral:ncRNA from 1 species